AACUUUCGACAAUGGAUCACUUGGCUCUCCCAUCGAUGAAGAACGCAGCGAAAUGCGAUAAGUAAUGUGAAUUGCAGAAUUCCGUGAAUCAUCGAAUCUUUGAACGCAUAUUGCGCCCUCUGGCAUUCCGGGGGGCAUGCCUGUCCGAGCGUCAUUAUUUACCUUCAAGCACGGCUUGUGUGUUGAGCAUUCUGGUUCUUCCAGAGGCUUGAAAUGCAGUGGCGAUGCCAAGAUUUGGGUGCCCGAGCGUAUGGGGCUUUGUCGCACGCUCUGGUGGCUCCUGGCUUGCAUCCUGCCCCAACUUUUAUAUGAUUUUUCGUUUAAUUGACCUCGGAUCAGGUAGGAAUACCCGCUGAACUUAAGCAUAUCAAUAAGCGGAGGCU
rnacentral:misc_RNA from 1 species